rnacentral:rRNA from 4 species
GGGUUGUGAGGUUAAGCGACUAAGCGUACACGGUGGAUGCCCUGGCAGUCAGAGGCGAUGAAGGACGUGCUAAUCUGCGAUAAGCGCCGGUAAGGUGAUAUGAACCGUUAUAACCGGCGAUUUCCGAAUGGGGAAACCCAGUGUGAUUCGUCACACUAUCAUUAACUGAAUCCAUAGGUUAAUGAGGCGAACCGGGGGAACUGAAACAUCUAAGUACCCCGAGGAAAAGAAAUCAACCGAGAUUCCCCCAGUAGCGGCGAGCGAACGGGGAGGAGCCCAGAGCCUGAAUCAGCAUGUGUGUUAGUGGAAGCGUCUGGAAAGGCGCGCGAUACAGGGUGACAGCCCCGUACACAAAAGCGCAUGUGCUGUGAGCUCGAUGAGUAGGGCGGGACACGUGGUAUCCUGUCUGAAUAUGGGGGGACCAUCCUCCAAGGCUAAAUACUCCUGACUGACCGAUAGUGAACCAGUACCGUGAGGGAAAGGCGAAAAGAACCCCGGCGAGGGGAGUGAAAAAGAACCUGAAACCGUGUACGUACAAGCAGUGGGAGCACAGGUUUACCUGUGUGACUGCGUACCUUUUGUAUAAUGGGUCAGCGACUUAUAUUCUGUAGCAAGGUUAACCGAAUAGGGGAGCCGGAGGGAAACCGAGUCUUAAU